AAAAUUAUAGUUUAUAUAAAACAUUUAAUUUGCAUUUAAAAAAAACUUAAGUUAAUUUUA
rnacentral:tRNA from 1 species